rnacentral:lncRNA from 1 species
GAACACUAACUUUAGAUGUAAUGGAAGAAUUUGAAGUUUUAAUUGCACUGUUCUUGGUAUUUGGCAUCAGCGAUGUGAAAUUUGAAUCCGAUGGUGAUGAUGAGAUGAUAGUUUCUACAGUAUUUUCCGAAUUCUCCCUGGCGCCAGAAUUUAGAUGGCACAUUUCGUUCGAAAUAUCUGUUUCUGGCACAUUAAUCACAACACUGGACGAAGAAGGUAACGAUUGAUAAGAGAUUUUGGUCAGAUUUACUAUAGGGCUUACACUGUUAAUGUUGGCUGGAAGUAUAAAAAUAGAAUUUUUUUAAAUUAUGUCGUCGGCUUUAUCGAUGAUCGAAAGCAAUUUAUUUUUUACCUUUAUGCUUUUCCCACGCUGCCGGUAACUCGGAUAAAC